rnacentral:rRNA from 1 species
CAAAAGCGUAUAUUAAAGCUGUUGCAGUUAAAAAGCUCGUAGUUGAACCUUGGGCUUGGCUGGCCGGUCCAUCUUUUUUGAUGCGUACUGGACCCAGCCGAGCCUUUCCUUCUGGCUAGCCUUUUGGCGAACCAGGACUUUUACUUUGAAAAAAUUAGAGUGUUCAAAGCAGGCCUUUGCUCGAAUAUAUUAGCAUGGAAUAAUAGAAUAGGACGUUAUGGUUCUAUUUUGUUGGUUUCUAGGACCAUCGUAAUGAUUAAUAGGGACGGUCGGGGGUAUCAGUAUUCAGUUGUCAGAGGUGAAAUUCUUGGAUUUACUGAAGACUAACUACUGCGAAAGCAUUUACCAAGGACGUUUUCAUUAA